rnacentral:rRNA from 1 species
UGGGGAAUUUUGGACAAUGGGGGAAACCCUGAUCCAGCCAUCCCGCGUGUGCGAUGAAGGCCUUCGGGUUGUAAAGCACUUUUGGCAGGAAAGAAACGUCGCGGGCUAAUACCCCGCGAAACUGACGGUACCUGCAGAAUAAGCACCGGCUAACUACGUGCCAGCAGCCGCGGUAAUACGUAGGGUGCAAGCGUUAAUCGGAAUUACUGGGCGUAAAGCGUGCGCAGGCGGUUCGGAAAGAAAGAUGUGAAAUCCCAGAGCUUAACUUUGGAACUGCAUUUUUAACUACCGGGCUAGAGUGUGUCAGAGGGAGGUGGAAUUCCGCGUGUAGCAGUGAAAUGCGUAGAUAUGCGGAGGAACACCGAUGGCGAAGGCAGCCUCCUGGGAUAACACUGACGCUCAUGCACGAAAGCGUGGGGAGCAAACAGGAUUAGAUACCCUGGUAGUCCACGCCCUAAACGAUGUCAACUAGCUGUUGGGGGCCUUCGGGCCUUGGUAGCGCAGCUAACGCGUGAAGUUGACCGCCUGGGGAGUACGGUCGCAAGAUUAAAACUCAAAUGAAUUGAC